rnacentral:rRNA from 1 species
UUGGUUGGUUUGUAAUCCUAAAUAUCAACGGUAUCUAGAAAAUUUAGAACCACCUUUUACUUCCUCAUCUCGUAAGACUACCCGCUGAACUAAGCAAUCAAUAAGCGGAGAAAAGAAACCAACAGGAUGCCUCAUAACGGCGAGUGAAGCGCAAAAGCUCAAAUUGAAAUCCUUCGGAAUGUAUUUGAAGUGGUUGGUUAGGAAAAGUUACUUAAGUCCAUGGAAAAUGCGCCAUGGAGGUAUAGCCCCGUAAAAGUACCCCCUUUCCUUUAUCCAUUCCCUCCAAAGAUCGAGUGUUUGGGAAGCAGCUCUAAGUGGUGUAAAUCCAUCUAAAGCUAAAUAUGGCGAAGACCGAUAGCGAACAAGUACAGUGAUGGAAAGAUGAAAAGCACUUGAAAAGAGAGUGAAAAAGUACGUGAAAUGUUGAAAGGAAGGCUUGCAACAACACAACCUCGUGGCCACAUCGGAGUGGGGAGACAAAAAAGAAAAGGAAGUAACCUUCGAGUAUAUACCUUUCUCAUAUCUCCACCCCCUUCCGAGCCUGCGAUCUUCAAGGAUCGGCGUAAUGGUGCAAUCGCCCGUCUGAAACACGACCAAGGAGUCUAACGUCUAUGCGAGUGUUGAGUACUAAACCCAAACGCGCAAUGAAAGUAAUAGACGAACCUCACGGUGCAGCUCCGACCACAUUAAGGCCUAAACCAUAAUGUAGUAAGCAUGGCUUGGACCCGAAAGAUGUGAACUAUACCUGGAUAGGUGAAGCCAGAGGAAACUCUGGGAGCUCGUAGCGGUUCUGACGUCAAAUCGAUCGUCGAAUCUGGUAAGGGCGAAAGACUAAUCGAACCAUCUAGUACUGUCCUGCCGAAGUUCCCUCAGAUAGCAGAAGCUCGUACAAACAUUUAUGAGUAAAGCGAAUGAUAGACUCUCGGGCGAAAUAGCCUUAGCGUAUCUCAAACUUAAAUAUGUAAGAAGCCUUCCUUUUUAAUUAAAGGUAGCAUGAAUGUAGAGCUUUAGUGGCCAUUUGGUAAGCAGAACUGGCGAUGCGGAUGAACCGAACGUGAAGUUAAAGUGCCAGAAUACACGCUCAUCAGACACCACAAAAGGUUAGUUCAUCUAGACAGCCGGACGUGGCCAUGGAAGUCGGAAUCCGCUAAGGAUGUAACAACUCACCGCCGAAUGAACUAGCCCUGAAAAUGGAUGCGCUAAGCGUGUACUAUACUCGCCCUAAACCAAUAGUUAGAGUAGGCAGCGUGGAGGUAGUGACGAAGCCUGGAUGUGAACUGGUCGAACUCCUCUAGUGCAGAUCUUGGUAGUAGCAAAUAUCAAAUGAGAACUUGAAGACUGAAGUGGGAAAGUCCAUGUCAACAGCAGAUAACAUGGUAGUCGAUCCUAACCUCUAAGUAAACCUGAUUAACUCCUCUAUUUCAGAGGUGAGGAAAGGAAUUGGUUAAUAUCCAAAACUGGAUAUGGAGUUCACGGUAACGUAACUGAAUGUGGAACGUCGCGUGGCCCUGGAAGAAUUUCUUUUCUCUAACAGCUUAUACCCUGGAGGAUAACCAGAGAUGGGUUUAUGGCUGGAAGAGCAACCCUUUAUGGUGUCCGGUGCGCCUACGACGUCCUGAAAAUCCACAGAAGAUUACUUCAUGCCAAGUCGUACUGAUAACCGCAGCAGUCCCAAGUUAACAGCCUCUAGUGAUAGAAAAUGUAGAUAAGGAAGUCGGCAAAAUAGAUCCGUAACUCGGAUAAGGAUGGCUCUAAGGUGGAGGAUCGGGUUUGGCUAAGGUGAAAGUAUUUAGGCCUGGGCUUCGGAGCUCUGGGCCUUUAGUCCCUCUACCCCACCCUUUCACCCUCCCUCACUAACAACCAUCUUAGAACUGGUACGGACAAGGGAAUCUGACUGUCUAAUAAAACAUAGCAUGCGAUGGUCAAAAGUGAUGUUGACGCAAUGUGAUUCUGCCCAUGCUCUGAAUGUCAAAGUGAAGAAAUCAACCAAGCGCGGUAAACGGCGGGAGUAACUAUGACCUCUAAGUAGCCAAAUGCCUCGUCAUCUAAUAGUGACGCGCAUGAAUGGAUAACGAGAUCCCACUGUCCCUAUCUACUAUCUAGCGAAACCACAGCCAAGGAACGGCUGGCAAAAUCAGCGGGAAAGAAACCCUGUGACUGACUCUAGUUGACAUGUGAAAGGAUGGAGGGUAGUAUAGGGGGAGCUCGGCGCCCGUGAAAUACCCCCACCUCUCUAUCUUACUUACAGAGUGAAGGACGAUCGGUUGAAAAACCACCUUCAAGUAUAAUCUUUAGAAACGUCAGCUCUAGACACCGUCUAAUGGGAGUUGGCUGGGCGGCACAUCUGUAAACAAUAACGCAGGUCCUAAGGGGCUCAUGAGAACAGAAAUCUCCAGUAGAACAAAAGGUAAAAGCCCCUUGAUUUGAUUUCAGUGGAAUACAAACCAUGAAAGUGUGGCCUAUCGAUCCUUAACACCCCGGAAUUGGGCUAGAGUGCCAGAAAAGUACCACAGGGAUAACUGGCUGUGGCAGUCAAGCGUCAUAGCGACAUUGCUUUGAUUCUCGAUGUCGGCUCUCCUAUCAUACCGAAGCAGAAUCGGUAAGCGUGGAUGUUCACCCACUAAUAGGGAACGUGAGCUGGGUUAGACCGUCGUGAGACAGGUUAGUUUACCCUACUGAUGGUUGUUGUGCAAUAGUAAUGAACUUAGUACGAGAGGAACCGUCAUUCAGAUAAUGGUAUUGGCCCUGUCUGAGAAGCAUGGGCCGAAGCUACCAUCUGCUGGAUAUGGCUGAACGCCUCUAAGUCAGAAUCCAUGCUAGAAGCAACGCCACACGCUGCAUUGGGAGUUGGAUAUAAAUAGCUUCGGCCCGAACCAUGUAAGAGGAUUGAGGAAUGUGUGGAAGCACUCUUCUCUACCUCGAAUAGCAAUGUCACCUUGCAAGCAUAAAUCCUUGCAUACGACUAGACUACAACUGGUAUGUAAUGGUAGAGUAGCCUUGUUGUACGAUCCACUGAGAUAAGCCCGCGUUGGAAGUUGUAGA